rnacentral:sRNA from 1 species
AUUUCUGCAAAAUAUACAAGAAUUGGUGCGGGCUGCCGGGCUGCCCCGAGCCGGCGGGGAGCCGGUCCGCUCCAGGUGGUGGGCAGCGGGAGCGAGGGAGCGGA